GCAGCCAGACGGGAUGCAGCUUCCACUCACGGAGCUCAGCCCGCAGCUCUUGUCCUUCCCAGUCCUGGGUUCGUUUUCACCAUCCACUUCUCUCAGGUCAAAUACGCAGAGACGACAGAGAGCAGGAAGACUGUCGUGGUUUCAGCUAAAUUUACCAAAACCAGACUGACAGAUGGCCCUUCCCACCCUCCCAAAAGAGAGGAGAGGAAGAGAUCAGGAGAUUUAUAAGUUUAGAAUGAACUAAGCUACUUAUAUGAAGAAUUAAUAUUAAAAUCAGAAAGAAGAAAAUAAUGAAUCAUAGAAUCAUACGGGGUUGGAAAGGACCGCUGGGGAUCCUCCAGUCCAACCCCCCCGCCAAAGCGGGUUUACCUAGACCAGGCUGCACAGGAACUUGUCCAGACAGAUGAAGACCCAAAUCUUGCUAUUCCAGUGGAUAGUCAUGCGGAUCUUUUUUGUAUCUAUGUAGGUAAGGAAAGGGACCUUCCUAUAUAGUUGGGCUAUGGUGCGCGCUCGUUUAUUUCCUGGUGUGUGUGAUGUGUCUUGUGUACUGAUUGCAUUUGCCCAUUCCAGAAGUGCCCAUUCCACUCCUCACUUGUUGGAGAAGGAUAAAAUAUUUGCUAAGCUGCUGUAAACCUUCAUCUGCAGCCCUUGUAGCCCUAAACGUGCCUCCCCUCUGAAUAGAUUCCCGUCUUUUGCCCGUCCGUUUCUGGACACACAACCUGAGAAUACCCACAGCCACUGUCAGGAUGUGGGAUGAGCUCCAAGCUGUUAAGAAGAUCACACCAUUUGUGAACUUGUGGAUCAUCUUCUGGGACUUUAGGUUUUGCCAAUUUGCAGACAAUUAUGAGUCCUGACUGCAUCAUGCUGAGCAGCAGACAGCUCUUUCCUGUUCCUGAAACGCUGUCUGGUGGAAAAAGUGUUGGAUGGUAGUAGCCCUACUUAAGGCAUUCUGGACAUGUUGAGAACACCACCGAUAAAUCUAAUUUUUAUUGUGACAGUGAGACAGCUGCAAUUUGGAGCAGCUCCUGAAGGCUGCAGCUGUGGAUCCCAAGCAAGCAGAUUCGUUUCCCUGCCACCCCAACUCAACAGCGAGAUAAGACUCUUCUGUGUCCUCAGGACAGUUUGUGGGGGCUACCACAGAUCCUGUGGAUUCAGUGCAACAUUGCUUAUGAGUCUCAUUCUCAGAUGCCUAAUUCUCCAAGGUUCAAUUCUUCAGGUUCAAUUCUGGAGCUAGGCAUUUAAGUGAAGCAUGUAGUUAUAAUCUCUUUCUGGUUAUCCAGGAGCCACUAACUUUGGCAAUGGCAUUUUUCACUUUACUGGACUGUGAGUUUCUUGCUUGCUUGUAGUGGCUCAUAUUUUUUCACAACCACACUGGGUGAAGUAUGAAAAUGAGUGAUAAUUUGGGGAUUUUUUUUUUUUUUUGACCUGAAAAAUGCUUUCGUUAAAUGGACAGCAAGGUGACCUGAAUGACACUGAUCUGGAUGAACUCAUACAGUGAAGCUAGCAGCAUUAGUGUUGUCUCCAUUUUUCUCUGGGAUGAUGACAUUGUUACUAAGUAAUGGAAGAAACGCUUCAGGCUUUCCUCUUACUGCAACAGAUUAAACCUUUCUUCCAGAUGUAAUCACGUACAUUUUGGUGAAGUCACCGACAAAGUAGAAUUCAGUUGAGCAAGUUUGAAGAUGAUGCUCUGGUGAGACCAUUAAUUGUUAUUUCAUUGGCCUUUUCAGGAUGCUUAAAACCACCUUCACACUGAAGACCUUAAGAGGACCAUCAUGUGUAGCACAGUGUUGUGCUAAAUUUUUGACACCCGUGUGGUUAAAUCUGAAUCACAGGUCUGCUACCUACUGCCUUUUCACCCAACAUGUGUUAAAAAUAGCCACUGAAGAAGGAAAAUAGAUGUUCACUUUUAAUGACCAGUGGUCCUUCCCAAGAACUUGACCAAGAAAAGUUCCCUGCACUCUGGCGAAGGGGCACACAGACAUAUUUCUUGGAUUGAUUGUGGCUGGUGCACAGAAGGAGUCCCAAAAGAUGUAAUGCUUCACUGAUAGAGGUGUUGACUUAUCCUUCAACAACAGCUUAGAAAUUUUUGCAACUUCUCUACUUAAAUAAGUCAGUCAAGGAAGGAGCUUGCUACUGUAUAACAUAUGGAGUUGUCAGUAGUUUUUAUCUUUGAAACUGCUAUUAAUAUCUUUUGGGAAAAGGAAAGGCAGCACACACAAAGAAGGCAGCAGAGC
ensembl:lncRNA